rnacentral:tRNA from 1 species
GGACAGGUGGCGGAGCGGUUGAACGCGCCGGUCUCGAAAACCGGAAUGCCUCGUAAGGGGCAUCGGGGGUUCGAAUCCCCCCCUGUCCGCCA